UACGGGGGGGGCAAGCGUUGUUCGGAAUUACUGGGCGUAAAGGGCUCGUAGGCGGCCAACUAAGUCAGACGUGAAAUCCCUCGGCUUAACCGGGGAACUGCGUCUGAUACUGGAUGGCUUGAGGUUGGGAGAGGGAUGCGGAAUUCCAGGUGUAGCGGUGAAAUGCGUAGAUAUCAUUUGGAACGCCAAUGGUGAAAACAGCUCGCUGGGAAUGAUCUGACACUGAGACGCGAAAGCCAGGGGAGCGAACGGG
rnacentral:rRNA from 1 species